ensembl:misc_RNA predicted gene, 23885
GGAUAUGAGGGUAAUCUGGCUGCAAUAUCUGUCACCCUAUUUUCUCCAAUAUUGAUCGGUCUGAUCUGAGUGACAAGGUGGGUGUGACUCCUUCCUCACCAUUCCACAUGUGUCCCUCCUAAAGAAUGCACUCUGUACAAGAGGACAACCUGACCAAAUAAAGUAGGACCUGUCUUCAGUCAAAGGUAUAGCAAUAGCUGCAUUCCCCUGGCAGAGCCUCCAAACAAGCUCUCAAGGAUUUGUUUGACCAAAGACCGAAACUCUCUCCAAAACUAAGUAUUGGAUUGCUGUGUU